ensembl:lncRNA
CGCGGGCUGUCUCACGUUGCGAUUACGUAAACAAACAGAUUUUUCGCGUGCUCGCCAAAUUCGAACAUGUGAAUGAUUUUGAGUCAAAAUCGAUUAGUUACAUUUGUUUUUUAUAAGAAGUAACGGGAUAACUUAAAACGAAUAUAGCACAUACUCAUAUGGAUUACUUUUUUUUUUGGAAUUUAUUUAUUCAUUUAUUUGAAUCAUGCUUCCAUCUGUCAUCCGGGUGUCUCACUGAUGAAAACACCAGUUUGAAGCUACAUCAGGCAUCCAUUCACUGCAGAGGAUUCAUUGCUGAGCAAGUGAUGGAAUGCUAAUUUCCUCCAAAUUAGUUCUGAUAAAGAAACAAACUCAUCUACAUCUCGGAUGACCUGAGGAAACUAAUGUCGGCAGAGCAGAGAUAGCUCAUCUUGUCACCCACUGAAUCAUAAUGAGGAAAUGUGAGGAUAAUGCUUGUAAUCAGCAGUAUCGGAGAACAAGAAUGCCAUUGUCUCACCCCUCAUUUCCUGUCCGGUUCAGAUGGCCAGAGUGAGGCAAAUAUUAGAUCAACAUGUAUGGAAAUAUAUUAUUACAAAGAGAAGCUGUUACGCCGCAGACACCUCUUCAAGAGUCCAAGUGAGAUUUGUGAACCGCCGCUGCAAGGAAAAGGACCUCUGGUGUCAAGAUGGCUGUACAUUCACAUCAGGGCUUGUUUAAUAACAUGAAGAGACACAACUUCUGCCGCUCUCUGUCAUCCUAAUUACAUUCGUCUUUCUGACUUCUAUGAAAGCCUCUCUGAAACUCAUUUCACUGGAGACAAGGAAACACAAGCUGGAAGCUUUGACGGAGCUCUCAUUUUGUCUGUCUAAAGGG